rnacentral:rRNA from 1 species
GGAGUUAGCCGGUGCUUCUUCUGUGAGUGAUGUCCUUCCUGCCGGCUAUUAACCCGCAGGCCUUCUUCCUCACUGAAAGUGCUUUACAACCCGAAGGCCUUCUUCACACACGCGGCAUGGCUGGAUCAGGGUUGCCCCCAUUGUCCAAUAUUCCCCACUGCUGCCUCCCGUAGGAGUCUGGGCCGUGUCUCAGUCCCAGUGUGGCUGAUCAUACUCUCAGACCAGCUACGGAUCGUCGCCUUGGUGAGCCGUUACCUCACCAACCAGCUAAUCCGACAUAGGCUCAUCCGAUAGCGCGAGGCCCGAAGGUCCCCCGCUUUCCCCCGUAGGGCGUAUGCGGUAUUAGCCUGGGUUUCCCCAGGUUAUCCCCCGACUACCGGGCAGAUUCCUAUGCAUUACUCACCCGUCCGCCGCUCGCCACCAGGGAGCAAGCUCCCCGUGCUGCCGCUCGACUUGCAUGUGUUAGGCCUGCCGCCAGCGUUCAAUCUGAGCCAGAAUCAAACUCUGA